rnacentral:lncRNA from 10 species
GCUUGAGCCACCGCGCCCAGCAAGAAAGGGGUUUUGAACCCUAAUGCAGUUCCUGUUUUUGUUUCCAUCCCCUAUUGGCUGGGAUCAGACCGCACAAUCUAAGCUGAUCCUGGUAAGCUUAGACCCAAACUUUUUCCAAAUAAAGUAAAUGCGCGAUUUGCGAGAAAAGGAAAAGGGGGUAGAAGAAGAGGUAGGGUUGAUUUACAACUUUUACAACUUAUGACCAGAAAGUUGAGUCAUUUAAAAGGAACUUAGUUGUCCUAACACCUCUUUACCUCAAGUGAUCCGCCCGCCUCGGCCUCCCAAAACGUUGGGAUUACAGGCGUGAGCCACAGCGUCCGGCCCCAUACAUUUUUAAUAGGAGAAAAGAGAAACUGUAAACCCAAAGGAACAAAG